rnacentral:rRNA from 1 species
UCAAUAAGCGGAGGAAAAGAAACUAACAAGGAUUCCCCUAGUAACUGCGAGUGAAGCGGGAAAAGCUCAAAUUUAAAAUCUGGCGGUCUCCGGCCGUCCGAGUUGUAGUCUGGAGAAGCGUUUUCCGCGUUGGACCGUGUACAAGUUUCCUGGAACGGAGCGUCAUAGAGGGUGAGAAUCCCGUCUUUGACACGGACCCCAAUGCUUUGUGAUGCGCUCUCAAAGAGUCGAGUUGUUUGGGAAUGCAGCUCAAAAUGGGUGGUGAAUUCCAUCUAAAGCUAAAUAUUGGCGAGAGACCGAUAGCGAACAAGUACCGUGAGGGAAAGAUGAAAAGCACUUUGGAAAGAGAGUUAAACAGUACGUGAAAUUGUUGAAAGGGAAACGCUUGAAGUCAGUCGCGUCGGCCGGGACUCAGCCUUGCAUUCGCUUGGUGUACUUUCCGGUCGACGGGCCAGCAUCAGUUUUGACCGCGAGACAAAGGCGGAGGGAAUGUGGCUCUUUCGGGAGUGUUAUAGCCCUUCGUCGCAUGUCGCGGUUGGGACUGAGGACCGCAGCACGCCUUUAUGGCCGGGGUUCGCCCACGUACGUGCUUAGGAUGCUGGCGUAAUGGCUUUAAACGACCCGUCUUGAAACACGGACCAAGGAGUCUAACAUGCCUGCGAGUGUUCGGGUGGAAAACCCGUGCGCGCAAUGAAAGUGAAAGUUGGGAUCCCUGUCGUGGGGUGCACCGACGCCCGGACCAGACCUUUUGUGACGGAUCUGCGGUAGAGCAUGUAUGUUGGGACCCGAAAGAUGGUGAACUAUGCCUGAAUAGGGUGAAGCCAGAGGAAACUCUGGUGGAGGCUCGUAGCGAUUCUGACGUGCAAAUCGAUCGUCAAAUUUGGGUAUAGGGGCGAAAGACUAAUCGAACCNUCUAGUAGCUGGUUCUGC